rnacentral:RNase_P_RNA from 1 species
GUAGAGCAGGGAAUGACUAUCCAUAACAGGAGGAAAGUCCGCCCACUACGGUAAUCACUUGUGUUAUGCAAGGUUCAGAAAUGGACGGCAACCACUCAGAAAAGAGACCCCCUAUAUCCGGAAUGAUAGGCAGAACGUUCGGGUGACCGAAUAAACUAACUCCUUGACUAUGUUUAUAGGAAUGGAUGAAACUGUGAGUCCUGAUUUGUGCAACUCCAUUUGGAGGCUUAGUAGAAUGUCAUAAUCGGCCCAUCCGACUGAAAAGUUUGGGGCUGACAGAAGGCGGCUUACACCUGCUCUAC